rnacentral:rRNA from 1 species
UUUCUUGAUUAGUGGCGCACGGGUGAGUAAUGCAUAGAUAAUGUGCCCCUUAGUUCGGGAUAGCCACUGGAAACGGUGAUUAAUACCGGAUACUCCUUCUUGUUAUAAGACAAGUCGGGAAAGUUUUUCGCUAAGGGAUCAGUCUAUGUUCCAUCAGCUUGUUGGUGAGGUAAUGGCUCACCAAGGCUAUGACGGAUAUCUGGUUUGAGAGGAUGAUCAGACACACUGGAACUGAGACACGGUCCAGACUCCUACGGGAGGCAGCAGUGAGGAAUAUUGCACAAUGGAGGAAACUCUGAUGCAGCAACGCCGCGUGGAGGAUGACGCAUUUCGGUGUGUAAACUCCUUUUAUUAGGGAAGAUAAUGACGGUACCUAAUGAAUAAGCACCGGCUAACUCCGUGCCAGCAGCCGCGGUAAUACGGAGGGUGCAAGCGUUACUCGGAAUCACUGGGCGUAAAGGGUGCGUAGGCUGGCUUUUAAGUCAGAUGUGAAAUCCAAUGGCUCAACCAUUGAACUGCAUUUGAAACUGAAACCCUAGAGUUCAGAAGGGGCAGAUGGAAUUAGUGGUGUAGGGGUAAAAUCCGUAGAUAUCACUAGGAAUAUCAAAAGCGAAGGCGAUCUGCUGGGAUGA